rnacentral:lncRNA from 1 species
AAUACCACGGAUCUGUUAGCAACAACUCAACUGGUUCUCAAAGCCCCGAGGCUCAAGAAUCCUCUGCUCCACAAGCAACUACAUACUUAACACAUCAUAACACAUUAGCAAUUCCUUAGGAUCUUGAGUCAUAGGCCUAGUUUCCAGACUCAGGUGCCUCUCAUCAUAUUACAACUAGCAUUAUGAAGGUAUAACAUGUUCAUUCUUAUGCAGGAUCUAACAAUGUUGUAAUUGGUAAUGGACAUAGUCUAGAAGUCAAGAAAUUUGGUCACUC